GUGAGGAAUAUUGGUCAAUGGGCGCAAGCCUGAACCAGCCAUGCCGCGUGCAGGAAGACGGUCCUAUGGAUUGUAAACUGCUUUUAUUUGGGAAUAAACUCCGGUACGUGUACCGGCCUGAAGGUACCAAAUGAAUAAGCACCGGCUAACUCCGUGCCAGCAGCCGCGGUAAUACGGAGGGUGCAAGCGUUAUCCGGAAUCAUUGGGUUUAAAGGGUCCGCAGGCGGGCUUAUAAGUCAGUGGUGAAAGCCUACAGCUCAACUGUAGAACUGCCAUUGAUACUGUAGGACUUGAAUUCGAUCGAAGUGGGCGGAAUGUGACAUGUAGCGGUGAAAUGCUUAGAUAUGUCACAGAACACCGAUAGCGAAGGCAGCUCACUAGGUCUGGAUUGACGCUCAGGGACGAAAGCGUGGGGAGCAAACAGGAUUAGAUACCCCUGUAGUCC
rnacentral:rRNA from 1 species